rnacentral:rRNA from 1 species
UUAAAUUGAAGAGUUUGAUCAUGGCUCAGAUUGAACGCUGGCGGCAGGCCUAACACAUGCAAGUCGAACGGUAACAGGAAGCAGCUUGCUGCUUUGCUGACGAGUGACGGGCGGGUGAGUAAUGUCUGGGAAACAGCCUGAUGGAGGGGGGUAACUACAGGAAACGGUGGGUAAUACCGCAUAACGUCGCCAGACCAAAGAGGGGGACCUUCGGGACUCUUGCCAUCAGAUGUGCCUAGGUGGGAAUAGCUUGUUGGUGAGGGAAAGGCUCACGAAGGCGACGAUCCCGAGCUGGUCUGAGAGGAUGAACAGCCAC